rnacentral:lncRNA from 1 species
CUCUCUCUUUCAUAGAUUCUUCUUUCUUCUGCUUGUGCACAGGAUAGCAUUGCUCUCAUGGGUGCUGUUCACCAAACACAGGGACUCUUCACCUCAUGGGCUAAGGAUUGCUGGUGCUGGCUGCAGCUGUAAAACCCAAGAAACUUAAACUAUUUGCUAUUCAACUCUACAGCAAAAGUUUACCAACCCUUUGUUUGAGUCUGCAUUUUUUAGUUUGCAUAUGAAAAAUAAGGUCUGUCUAAUCUUAUCCCAGUAUUCAAUUAUUUUUAGUAGUGAAAUGCUUUACCAA